rnacentral:rRNA from 1 species
GACGAACGCUGGCGGCGUGCCUAAUACAUGCAAGUCGAACGCACUCUCGUUUAGAUUGAAGGAGCUUGCUCCUGAUUGAUAAACAUUUGAGUGAGUGGCGGACGGGUGAGUAACACGUGGGUAACCUGCCCUAAAGUGGGGGAUAACAUUUGGAAACAGAUGCUAAUACCGCAUAAAACCUAACACCGCAUGGUGUAGGGUUGAAAGAUGGUUUCGGCUAUCACUUUAGGAUGGACCCGCGGUGCAUUAGUUAGUUGGUGAGGUAAAGGCUCACCAAGACCGUGAUGCAUAGCCGACCUGAGAGGGUAAUCGGCCACACUGGGACUGAGACACGGCCCAGACUCCUACGGGAGGCAGCAGUAGGGAAUCUUCCACAAUGGACGAAAGUCUGAUGGAGCAACGCCGCGUGAGUGAAGAAGGUUUUCGGAUCGUAAAACUCUGUUGUUGGAGAAGAAUGUAUCUGAUAGUAACUGAUCAGGUAGUGUCGGUAUCCAACCAGAGAGCC